CGGCUGACGGGUGAGUAACACGUGGAUAACCUACCUAUAAGACUGGGAUAACUUCGGGAAACCGGGGCUAAUACCGGAUAAUAUAUUGAACCGCAUGGUUCAAUAGUGAAAGACGGUUUUGCUGUCACUUAUAGAUGGAUCCUCGCCGCAUUAGCUAGUUGGUAAGGUAACGGCUUACCAAGGCAACGAUGCGUAGCCGACCUGAGAGGGUGAUCGGCCACACUGGAACUGAGACACGGUCCAG
rnacentral:rRNA from 1 species